rnacentral:rRNA from 1 species
CUACGGGAGGCUCCAGUGAGGAAUCUUCCACAAUGGGCGAAAGCCUGAUGGAGCGACACCGCGUGAAGGAUGAAGGCCUAACGGUUGUAAACUUCUUUUCUGAAGGAGCAUAAUGAGAGUACUUCAGGAAUAAGGGACGGCUAAAUACGUGCCAGCAGCCGCGGUAAUACGUAUGUCCCAAGCAUUGCCCGGAAUUACUGGGUGUAAAGGGUUUGUAGGCGCUUUAUAAGUCAGAUAUGAAGGACCGAAGCUCAACUUCGUGUUUGUGUUUGAAACUGUAGAGCUAGAAUCAGGGAGAGGUAAGCGGAAUUCUGAGUGUAGGGGUGAAAUCCGUAGAUACUCAGAGGAACACCAAAAGCGAAGGCAGCUUACUGGAACUGUAUUGACGCUCAUGAACGAAAGCGCGGGGAGCGAAAAGGAUUAGAUACCCGAGUAGUC